UUGAAUAUAGCACCGUGAAUGGGUCUCGAACGUGAAAGCUGUGAAAAUGAGCAUGAGCGUUGGGGAUGAGUUGCGAAAAUGAAAGUCCAGAGCGCCCUGAGUCUGAGUUGCCUGGGAUGGAUUGGUCACCCUGGUAGAGGCGUUGUCUCUUCUCUUAGCACGUUGGUACAAGAAGAUGUGGCAUCUGAUCCCAAUGAUGGAUAUGACUCGUGUCGAACUUUGGAUCUUGACCCGAUGCGUAGGCUGCCAGGGCAAACGUUUUUUACGUUUUUUUUAACCCAUCUUUGAGCACCUGGAUGGGCUAGGAUGGUCGAGUCGGUGAGGGCAUCGAGACGCGGCGGGAUGAAACAUGUAAAAUGGCGUGAGGCGGCAUUUGGUAAUCAAUCUACCUUGGUUCAAAGGCAUUUGUUUGUUACGAAACCAGUUUGCGCCGUGCUCAAGCUUGAGAAUCAGGGGACAAUAUUUCCAGAGUUGGUCGUUUGGAAAUCAUUUAAAACACACAAUACAAACACAUUUCCAAAAUGUGUAAAAAAACCGAAAUCGAAAUAGGGGUUCCAAGUUCCAAGUCGUUCAAGACUGAUGUAGACAUGUUUGACUUUGGUGGCGACCCUGAUUGUUGUUCCACGACAAGAGAGCCUUUGUGGACCAGUGGAUCCACGACGUCCACUCGCAUGUCAAAACAACCCAACCGGAUCUCCAGUAGGAUGCACUAUGUACGAAGAAUACUUUUGCCUGGUCUUGACACUGUAUGAUUUGAUUGGUAUUCGGGGUGUGGAGGCCGCCGCCGCCGCCGCUGGCUCGCUCCAUAUCAAUGUGAAUGUGAUCAAGACCAGAGGCGUAGCGGGAUUCCAAUUCUGUAACUGCUCAAUGGAAUGCUGGACCUGGGCAGGCAGACGUUACCAUGGUAUCCAAGUUAAUAAUGAUGACGAGCGUGGCUUGGUGCAAAACCAGUUCUUAGCCCAUCCGACAGCGCUCGAGAUCCUCAAGUGCGAGGAGGUCCUGGAACCCAAACCGAGGCCCAAGGCCACCCAUGAUCCUCCCCAGAGUCUUCCAUCUUCUAGCCGAGAACGCUUCUACUUCACAUUCGUAUGGGUGGCCUUUGCUCUCGCUUGCAUUGGGAUCCCAAUCCUGCUGGCCCGUCUUUGCUGCCAAUCCAUUAUCAGCUGGCAUCGCUCCAGGGAUGAUCAUCCCAACCCAAGCGACCCUGCCUGUCACUCCAUUCCAAAUCACAUCAUGACCCAUGUCAACCUACCUCCUCCUAGUUACAAGGAGAGCACGGAUCUCCAUCUGGGUCCGCCUCCCACAUAUGAGCAAGCCAUGGCGCAAGUCUAAUUCAAGAUGGGGUCAUUCAUUGGCGCAAUUCUUGCUCAAGGUGUACAAUUGUAUUAGUGAUCACAAACACACAAAUUAUUAGGACAAUUGCCUGUGGAGCAGUUGUCGCGGCACCAGUCAUCUAAUCCCGGCAUAUCGCGUGCUGAAUCCUGAGCCCGACAACGAGGAGAAGGAGAGGGACGAAGAGGAGUGGCCUCACCCUGUGGCAGAUUCAUGACUCCAAUGGAAUCCUAGAAUGUUACUGAAGUUCAAUCCCCUUUCCGCCCGCUCCGCCAACUCUGCCGGCUCGUCGUUUUCCUCAGAGGUUGCCCCUUUUUGAGGUGCUUCUUCCGUCACCCUGAAAUACAAGUUGGACCAAUUACAGGAACUAAGUGGAUUUAGGAAAUAGCUUGAGCCCCAUUUACUCAAGGGCCUGGUUGAAGAUCAAAUUUUCCAAGGCAUUCAUCCUGGUUUCCAAAGCUUCUUGUCUCUGCAAAAUUUCCUCUGUUGGAUGUUGUUUGUCAUUGAUAUCCGGAAC